AAAGUGGCGAACGGCUGAGUAACACGUGGGCAACCUGCCCUUUGCACUGGGAUAGCCUCGGGAAACCGUGGUUAAUACCGGAUACUCCAUAUUUGUCGCAUGGCGAAUAUGGGAAAGCUCCGGCGGCAAAGGAUGGGCCCGCGGCCUGUUAGCUAGUUGGUGGGGUAGUGGCCUACCAAGGCAAUGAUGGGUAGCCGGGUUGAGAGACCGACCGGCCAGAUUGGGACUGAGACACGGCCCAGACUCCUACGGGAGGCAGCAGCU
rnacentral:rRNA from 1 species